GACCGGACGGCUUAAACCCGUUUGACUCCGCCAACAUUGAGCCUGCACGCUGCAGUCAGGAUCUUCUCGCUCAUUCAAGUACUCUGCGAAUCACAAUCAUCAAGGACACAAAAGUCCCUAACGCCUGCCUCUUCACGUUGAACUAAGAGGAUCACACACUUGGCAACAUCAUCAGACAACAACUUCUGAAGGACCCCCAGGUGCUCUUUGCUGGCUAUAAGGUCCCUCAUCCUCUGGAGCACAAGAUUGUGAUCCGUGUUCAGACUACACCAGACUACAGUCCUCAGGAGGCUUUCACUAAUGCCAUCACUGACCUCAUCAGUGAGCUGUCCUUGUUGGAUGAGAUACCGUCAACACAUUUCAUAAUAUCUCUCAAUAUUGGAUUGACAUGGGUUUGUCUGUGUAUUUCGUGGAACAGUUCUAGUGUAGCAGACUGCCAAUAUUUAAUAACAUUAUAUUUAUCGUUCUCUAUACUAGAACGGGUUGUGGAAAAUGAUAAUUUUUGCCAAAAAUGUAUGUAAGCACCAUCUACGUUCCAUAAAUCUUCACUUGCAAUAACUAGCAAUAUACCUGAAACACUCAUCUUCAAUACUAUUAUUAUUAUUAUUUUUUAAUACUACUAUUAUAACUAAGAGAUAUAAUAUAAAAACAAAAGUUAAAUGACUAUAUGACAAUAGACACAGAUAGAUUAGCAGAAUGUGUAACAAAUAAAUUCAUGAUAUCUUUUUAAACUUUGUUUCAGGUUUCAGGUUGUUUCAGGUUAAGGACAAGCAAGAAGGAAUUGAAUGAGGCUUGGUGCAUAAUGUUGGGAAAGAGGAUGUCACUUUGAAGAGUUCUCAAUAUCAUGAACUGUUCCACUUUUCAUUUGACUAGGAUUCUUUAAAAGGACUGUAUUUUAGACUAGGUACAGCAUGGUCCCUGUAUCUAAGUACUGAAUGGAGUUUUCAUUCUAGACCAUGAUAACAUAUUUGCAGGAAUGGAUGUAAUUGUAUCAGUCAAAUAAUCUUAUUUUUCUAACACAGAAACAUUAUAAGGAAACGUGUGAUUUAAAACGGAAAUUCUGAGAUCAUACGGUGGUUUGGUAUAUUCAAAACAGAAGCACAUGUUGUUAAACUCAUUCGAAUUAUCACGUUCUGACCAUAGUUCUUUUGUGUUUUCUUUGUUUUAGUAUUGGUCAGGACGUGAGCUGAGUGGGCAUUCUAU